GCCAGGCGUGGUGGCGCACGCCUGUAAUCCCAGCUACUCAGGAGGCUGAGGCAGGAGAAUGGCUUGAACCCGGGAGGCAGAGGUUGCAGUGAGCCAAGAUUGCGCACUGCACCACUCCAGCCUGGGUGACAAGAGCAAGACUCUGUCUCAA
rnacentral:SRP_RNA from 2 species